GGGGGCGCCAUGGUUUCGACGGGGGUUGCAAAGCGGGUGAGGGCAUGUCGGGAUCGCAGAUUCCCGUUAAACACUGUAUUUAUAUAGUCGCAAACGACGAAACUUACGCUCUAGCCGCUUAAUCGCGCUAGACUCUACACCACAGGGUCCAUCGGGUGGGCUGGGUCAAACCAGCAGUAGAGUCAUUAAGAUGGAAUCGCCUUAACUCGGGUUACUUGGGUUGGGGUUAAAUUUAGGUAACUCGCUCUCCUCAAGCCUGCCCAUCGGCGUGAAAGGGAGUUAAAAUCCAAAAGAUAAGGCUAAACAUGUAGAACUCUUCGUAGAGUGCUUCCGGACGGGGGUUCGACUCCCCCCGCCUCCACCA
rnacentral:tmRNA from 1 species